GAUGAACGCUGGCGGCGUGCCUAAUACAUGCCAGUCGAGCGAACAGACGAGGAGCUUGCUCCUCUGACGUUAGCGGCGGACGGGUGAGUAACACGUGGAUAACCUACCUAUAAGACUGGGAUAACUUCGGGAAACCGGAGCUAAUACCGGAUAAUAUAUUGAACCGCAUGGUUCAAUAGUGAAAGACGGUUUUGCUGUCACUUAUAGAUGGAUCCGCGCCGCAUUAGCUAGUUGGUAAGGUAACGGCUUACCAAGGCAACGAUGCGUAGCCGACCUGAGAGGGGGAUCGGCCACACUGGAACUGAGACACGGUCCAGACUCCUCGGGAGGCAGCAGUAGGGAAUCUUCCGCAAUGGGCGAAAGCCUGACGGAGCAACGCCGCGUGAGUGAUGAAGGUCUUCGGAUCGUAAAACUCUGUUAUUAGGGAAGAACAAAUGUGUAAGUAACUAUGCACGUCUUGACGGUACCUAAUCAGAAAGCCACGGCUAACUACGUG
rnacentral:rRNA from 1 species